rnacentral:rRNA from 1 species
CAGGGUCUUAGUAGCGGCGGAGGGUGAGUACACGUGGGUACCUGCCUGUAAGACUGGGAUAACUCCGGGAAACCGGAGCUAAUACCGGAUAGUUCCUUGAACCGCAUGGUUCAAGGAUGAAAGACGGUUUCGGCUGUCACUUACAGAUGGACCCGCGGCGCAUUAGCUAGUUGGUGGGGUAAUGGCUCACCAAGGCGACGAUGCGUAGCCGACCUGAGAGGGUGAUCGGCCACACUGGGACUGAGACACGGCCCAGACUCCUACGGGAGGCAGCAGUAGGGAAUCUUCCGCAAUGGACGAAAGUCUGACGGAGCAACGCCGCGUGAGUGAUGAAGGUUUUCGGAUCGUAAAGCUCUGUUGUUAGGGAAGAACAAGUGCGAGAGUAACUGCUCGCACCUUGACGGUACCUAACCAGAAAGCCACGGCUAACUACGUGCCAGCAGCCGCGGUAAUACGUAGGUGGCAAGCGUUGUCCGGAAUUAUUGGGCGUAAAGGGCUCGCAGGCGGUUUCUUAAGUCUGAUGUGAAAGCCCCCGGCUCAACCGGGGAGGGUCAUUG